rnacentral:rRNA from 1 species
CAGCAGGCGCGCAAAUUACCCACUCCCGGCACGGGGAGGUAGUGACGAAAAAUAACGAUACGGGACUCAUCCGAGGCCCCGUAAUCGGAAUGAGUAUACUCUAAAUCCUUAUACGAGUAUCAAUUGGAGGGCAAGUCUGGUGCCAGCAGCCGCGGUAAUUCCAGCUCCAAUAGCGUAUAUUAAAGUUGUUGCGGUUAAAAAGCUCGUAGUUGGAUCUGUGUCCCGCACCGUUGGUUCACCGCCUGUCGGUGUUCAACUGGCGUGUAUGCGGGACGUCCUGCCGGUGGCGGUCCGGUUCCCCGCGGGUUCGUAGGGGUCGUCCUGGCUUUGCUUGCGUCGUCCCCGAAGGCCCGUGCGGUGUUUCCGGCCGCCUUUUCGAUCCCGUCGCGGUGCUCUUCACCGAGUGUCGAGGCGGGCCGGCACGUUUACUUUGAACAAAUUAGAGUGCUUUAAGCAGGCCCUGUCCCGCCUGUAUGUUGUGUGCAUGGAAUAAUGGAAUAGGACCUCGGUUCUAUUUUGUUGGUUUUCGGAAUCUGAGGUAAUGAUCAAUGGGGACAGGCGGGGGCAUUCGUAUUGCGACGUUAGAGGUGAAAUUCUUGGAUCGUCGCAAGACGGACCGAAGCGAAAGCAUUUGCCAAGUAUGUUCUCGUCGAUCAAGAACGAAAGUUAGAGGUUCGAAGGCGAUCAGAUACCGCCCUAGUUCUAACCAUAAACUAUGCCUGCCAGCGAUCCGCCGAAGUUCCUCCGAUGACUCGGCGGGCAGCUUCCGGGAAACCAGAGCUUUUGGGUUCCGGGGGAAGUAUGGUUGCMAAGCUGAAACUUAAAGGAAUUGACGGAAGGGCACCACCAGGAGUGGAGCCUGCGGCUUAAUUUGACUCAACACGGGAAAACUCACCAGGCCCGGACACCGGAAGGAUUGACAGAUUGAGAGCUCUUUCUUGAUUCGGUGGGUGGUGGUGCAUGGCCGUUCUUAGUUGGUGGAGCGAUUUGUCUGGUUAAUUCCGAUAACGAACGAGACUCUAGCCUACUAACUAGGCGUACCCGGUAUCCACAAUCGUGCUACCGGCGAUCAAAUUUCUUCUUAGAGGGACAGGCGGCUUCUAGCCGCACGAGACUGAGCAAUAACAGGUCUGUGAUGCCCUUAGAUGUCCUGGGCCGCACGCGCGCUACACUGAAGGAAUCAGCGUGUCUUCCCUGUCCGAAAGGACCGGGUAACCCGCUGAACCUCCUUUGUGCUAGGGAUUGGGGCUUGCAAUUGUUCCCCAUGAACGAGGAAUUCCCAGUAAGCGCGAGUCAUAAGCUCGCGUUGAUUACGUCCCUGCCCUUUGUACACACCGCCCGUCGCUACUACCGAUUGAAUGAUUUAGUGAGGUCUUCGGACUGGUGCGCGGAGGCCGCAUCCGCGGUCUCCGAUGUUGCUGGAAAGAUGACCAAACUUGAUCAUUUAGAGGAAGUAAAAGUCGUAACAAGGUUUCCGUAGGUGAA